GCUCGUUGCCCCAAUCGCAUCACCCAGCACCACCACAGUACAAUCUGGUGCCUCCAUCGUAUCAUCCAGUAACAUCACAAAGCCAUCUGGUCCAUCCAGCACAAUCCAAUCUCUCUUCCACGAGACCCAGUUCAUCCCAUGAUGGACCUAGACUACAUUGACAUGUAUAAAAGAUUAAACUCAUCUAAUUUUGUAGGAGCAUCCUCCUUUGAAGAGGUCGAGUACUGAUUAGCUGAGACAGAGUAGGCCUUCACGACUCUUGUGGUGAUUCUCGAACAAAGAGUCAUACUUGCCACCUAC
rnacentral:lncRNA from 1 species